UACAGAGGUGGCAAGCGUUGUUCGGAAUUACUGGGCGUAAAGGGCGCGUAGGCGGCCUUCUAAGUCAGACGUGAAAUCCCCCGGCUUAACCUGGGAACUGCAUCUGAUACUGGGAGGCUUGAGUAUGGGAGAGGGAUGUAGAAUUCCAGGUGUAGCGGUGAAAUGCGUAGAUAUCUGGAGGAAUACCGGUGGCGAAGGCGGCAUCCUGGACCAUAACUGACGCUGAGGCGCGAAAGCUAGGGGAGCAAACGGG
rnacentral:rRNA from 1 species